rnacentral:rRNA from 1 species
UACAGAGGUCCCAAGCGUUGUUCGGAUUCACUGGGCGUAAAGGGUGCGUAGGCGGUCGGGUAAGUCUGAUGUGAAAUCUCACAGCUUAACUGUGAAACUGCAUUGGAUACUAUUCGGCUUGAGAGUUGGAGGGGGGACUGGAAUUCUCGGUGUAGCAGUGAAAUGCGUAGAUAUCGAGAGGAACACCAGUGGCGAAGGCGGCUCACUGGCCCGAUACUGACGCUGAGGCACGAAAGCGUGGGGAGCAAACAGG